AAAUGAAAUGAUGUAUAUGCUACUAGACAUGACACCACCAACACUCAGCGAACUAGAUAAUAAAGCGUAAAAAUACACCCUAGAUCUAAAACAGUUCUAGAAAGAUCAAGACAUAUAAACCCAAUCUAAACACAACUAGGAAACCCUAUAUAUAGUCACAAAAAAACGGAUCAGGAGAAUGAAGAUCCAGAGCUUGAAGAAAUGAAAAAAAGAUCCAAACCUCGCUUUGCUACUAUUUAAAGAAAAAUAACACAACAAUGAACAUGAUUCUAUACAACAUCAACAACUCUUUUAUUGAAUUUUAAGAGCCAGUUAGUUGAAACAAAAUUAUACCAAAAACCUCACUACAAUCUCUCACAUUCAGUAUAAUAAUCCUCCUUACAACUGUCAUGUAGCACCUGGUUUCCGGUAUGUGAAUUUUAUUUGAGCAUUGACCUAAUUUAGCCUUAGACUCGGCGAGUCAUAGGGUCCGACUCGCCGAGUAGGGACGGGACUCAGGACGCGUUUUAAGUAGGCGACUCGACGAGUCCAUAUCCUGGACUCGGCGAGUCACCGCUGCGGGAUGAAACCCUAAGUUUCAAGGGUUUGCACCCUAUUUAAACCCUCAUUCCGCCCCAACUCGUCCCCAUUCACCCCAGAACUCCCCCUACAUCGUUUUCCCCUUGUUUUCUUGAGAGUUUGAGGUGCUCUUGGUGUAUUCUUGGAGGUUUUGAAGUGUAAGAGGAGUAGAUCAAGAAGAGGAGGAGGAGAUCAGCCAUCCUUGUGUCAUUCCAACAUUUCCUUUGAGGUAUAACCCGUUUUCCCCUUGAUUCUAUGCUUAAAACUUCAUUUGGGUCCUUCUUGGUCAAUUUCCCAAGUUGCAUGUUCAUUAUAUGUUGUAAUAAGGCAUUUGGCCUUUGGAUCUAUGUAAGAUUGAGCUCCAGGAGCUCAGAUCUGUUAGCUUUUUGGUCCCAUAAGGCUUGUUAGCCCUAGAUCUACCAUUUUGAGACAUUUUGAGCUUUAUAAUCCUUAUUGGUGGAUAUCCACACGUAAAGUUGGAAACUUUACGUGUGAUUCGUGUCCUAGAAGUCCAGAUCUAUGAAUGGCAUGGUCUGGAACCGAGCAAAUCGGUAUAUUUAAGGAGUGCAUGGCGACGACUCGGCGAGUCGCAUAGGUGACUCGGCGAGUCUGGUCGCGAGUCACCGAAUUGGUCCCUUCUUCAUGUGUCGAGUUGAGCCUUGAGUCACAGGGGGUGACUCGGUGAGUUGGGAGCUGAACUCACCCAUGUUAGGACUCGGCGAGUCAAUGCCCUGACUCGGCGAGUCCAAGGCAAUCUUCAUAGCUCAAGAACAGACUCGGCGAGUUGUUCAUACAACUCGGCGAGUCUUAGCAUAAAGUGUUCAUCGGAUGAAGAUGAACUCGACGAGUUGUUCAUACAACUCGGCGAGUAGGAUGAAGGACUUGAAUAUUGGUUAAGAAGGUGAACCCGUCGAGUCGUCGCCUAACUCGACGGGUAGGAUCGGGAUUCAGGGCAGUCGUUUGGGCAGGGACUCGGCGAGUUGGAAAGCCAACUCGGCGAGUCGGGUCAACUGAAAGUUGACUCUGACUUUGACUUAGGGCAUGGUCAUGGGUAAAAUGGUCAUUUUACCCAAAGGUCAGUGAGCAAUGUUUGAUUGGGUUUAUUGUGGAAAUUGCAGCCGGAGGAUUUCCGGAGCAGCAGCGGCAGCAGUAGGCAGUCAGUUUCCGAUCAGUUCAGCAGCUACUUUGAGGUGAGUUACCUUCCAGUAGCGGUGGGUCUAAGGCCACAAUGCCGACCCACCAGUAGGAGUUGUAUGAUAGAUGAUUGUCUUUGUGAUAUCAUCUAAGUUCGCUAGUACCUGACAUGUUAUAUGCUAGCAUGAUAUGCUGUAUGUGAUAGUAGUAGAGUUUGGUUGUUCGGACCGAAGGGUAGUCAGACACCCCAGAUACGUCUGACAGUAUGUGACGAUAUGUAUGCAUGCUGGCUUGUUAUGUUAUAUGUGAUCGUAGUAGUAGGGGUGAAAUAGUCCCCGAGGAUCGGUUGUUAGGACCGAUGGGUAGUCAGCACCCCAGAAUGGCUUGACACGGGUAAGACGGCACCCCAGAAUGGCCGUAUGGGUAGGUCAGCACCCCAGAAUGGCUUGACACGGGUAGGUCGGCACCCCAGAAUGGCCGUACCGGGUAGUCAGGCACCCCAGAAUAGCCUGGCAGUAUAUAUGUUAUGUGUUUGUAUGGUAUGCGGUACGUUGGGGGAACUCACUAAGCUUUGUGCUUACGUUUACAGUUUUGUUUUCAGGUACCUCUGCAUCGAAGGGGAAGGAGCCGGCGCGGUAGCGGCACGUCAUACACACACUCUUCGGUUUCCGCAUUUAUGAGAUUUACUGGGAUUGUACUCUGAUAUUUGGAUGGGAUGUACGGUUUGGCUUUUGAGAACAUGGUUGCAAUGUGUUAUGGUGUGAACAAACAAUGUUUCUUUUUAUUUAGACAAUGUUUUUAUUUAUUAAUGUUUUCUAAAGUAAUAUCAAAAAAAAAAAAAAUUUUGGGUCGUUACAAGUUGGUAUCAGAGCCCUGGUUUGAGGGAUUCGGACACGCCUUCGGGAGUGUUUGGACUCAAACCGAGGGAUUGAAAGAUUUUUCCAAAAGAAAUUAUUCUUUAAAACCCGGAAAAGAGUCACGAGAAAGAGUAAAGUGUGUGACGUGCGCGACCGGCCGAGCUCAAGUAAGUAUUCCCCAUAGUACCCAUACAAGUUUAUGUUAUGUUUAUCAGCUUUAUGAAUAUUGCAUGCUAGAAUAGGCUAAGGAUCUAGGAGUGAUGCCUUAUGUGCCUGUUUAUUUGUUACAGCUUAUUGAAUAUUGCAUGCUAGAAUUGAGUAGACAGCAGUAGGGUAGCCUGUUUAGGUUAUGCCUGAUAGUAUGAGCUUAGCAUCCUAUGUUAAGUGUCGUUUCUUGUUCUAAGAACAGUUUUGGCUUGAGUCUGUUUUUCCUUAUCCGAAUGCUGCUUGCUUCGUGCUCGGUGGGAUUCUGAGUAAUGGGAGUGAGCCACUAGGUAAACACGUCACACCACAUGUAAUCGGGGUUGAAUAAUCCCAAAGUGUUGGAACUGGCCCUAUUGCGCAGCUCUUGUUUGAGUCCAACCGUUGUAGGGACGGGCCUUUUACUUGAAGGAUGAUCUAAUCCUCAUCACAGGUGGUGGUGUUUAGGUGGUGGCUAACUGGCAUUAUGAGGAGACCUACAGCAGCUGAGGACCAGUUGUGUUGAACUUGAGUUCUCCCUAGGGCAAGCCUAGGGUGAGAAUAUCGGAGAGUAGCAGUAGUAGAGGGGAGUUGGUGGAGUCGAGGAAUUCCUCGGAGAAGGUACGGAUAGAUGUGGAAGGUAGUAUGGGCCCGUACUACUGAAAGCAGAGGAUCCGUACCCGAGCCGAGGAAGGCCAAGACGAGACCAAGGAACCUGUAAGUAGUUGAGAUCCCUCAGAAAGUAGCAGUACCACUAAUGAUUAUUAUUGAUGUUUUGCAGAAUGGUGGUACUUCGACCGAGACCGACAGAUGGCGGGUCAGGAGAGGGGUCAGGUUCGGGAUCUGGCACCGAGCCGAUUGAGGAGAGGCUACGUGAGUUCAUCACGUCGGAGAUCACUAGGGGCAUCCUUGAGUCGACCCCCAUCAUCUUUGGGUCGAUCAAGGAAGGGAUCGUGGAGAUGAUGGAGGAUCGCCUACGGGCAUUCAGGAGCGACUUGGCCUCUAGCCAGUCAGGAUCUCGCACACUGUCCUUCAAGGACUUCAGGAGCAGUGGUGCGCCGGAUUUCCAUGGGGUGAAGGACCCCAUUGUCGCCAGGCGGUGGAUUGCGGAUAUCGAGUCCGCCCAGUUGAUCAGCUUCUGCCCCGAGGGGUCGAAGGUGAGGUACGCAGCAGGGUGUUUACGGGACCGGGCCCGAGAUUGGUGGGAGUCAGUGGGUGACUCGAUGGGAGCCUCGGCUAUCGAGGCAAUGACCUGGUCGGACUUUGUGGCUAGGUUCAGGGCAGAGUUUGCGCCAGCGGUCGAGCUUCAGCAGCUGGCCAGGGAGUUCUUAGACAUGAGGCAGACGACAGAGACCGUGGCGGAGAUCACCGCCAAGUUUCGGGAGAGGGCUUUAUUGGUGCCCCAGUAUGCAGGUGACGAGGAUAUGAGGAGGACUCGUUACCAUGAUAUGCUACGAGCUGACAUUCGGGAGCAUGUUAGUUUUUCGGCUUGCCCUACCCUGGACUCCAUGAUUGCCAGGGCUAGGGAGAGAGAGAUAGAUUUGGAGCACAUCCGGAAACGGAAACUUGAGGAUGGUCAGUCAUCAGGGGCUUCGGGGAAGAAGCCCAAGGGAUCAGAUGGGAGGCCGAAAGGCCAGUCGGGACCGAGCCGCUGCAGGAGGUGCGGCAGGGCGCACGAGGGGGCGUGCAGGAUGGGAUCGUCAGGCUGCUACAAGUGCGGCAAGUUUGGGCAUAUCAGCAGGGAUUGCACUGCUCCUGCGACCGUUAUUCAGACAUCGGAGUUGCUGUGUUUCCACUGCAACCAGAGGGGCCACAAGAAGGCCAAUUGCCCCAUGUUGACAGCUUCAGCGCCAGUGAAGGCGCCAGCUCCAGCGACCCUGCGGAUCACGGAUGGCCGUCAGGGCAAGGCAGAGGCUCCAGUGGUGAGGAGUCGGGCAUUUCAGUUGACUGCCGAGGAGGCACGCGCCGCGCCCGAUGUGGUGACGGGUAUGAUUCCUUCCUUCUAUCUUUUAUUUUACGUUGUUAUGAUAUUGAUAUGUGCUCCGUGUGUAUACAUGUGUAUUAGGAUCGUUCCAUGUGAACGGCAUCCCGGUUCAGGUAUUGUUCGACUCGGGUGCAUCCCGAUCGUUCGUUUCUCUUGCUCUUAGCAAGAGAUUUCAUGAGACUUCAGGCGAGUUAGAUUGCCCGUUAGAGGUAGAGAUUGCCGAUGAUCGAUCGGUGCGAGCAUCGAUGGUGUUUCGAGAUUGUGUCCUGCGACUGUUUGAGGAGUGUUACCUGGUAGACUUGGUUCCCAUUCCAUUGCGUGGGAACAAGGUGAUUAUUGGUAUGGAUUGGUUGAGCCCUAAUGGGGCAGUGAUAGAUUGCGCACAGCAGCUAGUGCGAGUCAAGACCCCAAGCGGGGGAGAGUUAGUGAUUCAUGGAGAGCGGCCGCAGUGUGGACCCACUGUAUGUUCAGCAGCGAGGGCUAGGCGCUACCUUCAGCAGGGAUGCGCGGGUUAUGUCGCGUACGUGAUGGACACCCGGGAGGCGGGUAAGGCGACCGUGAGCGAGGUCCCGGUGGUUCGAGAUUUUGCUGAUGUUUUUCCGGAGGAACUACCUGGGAUACCUCCGGAGCGACAGGUGGAGUUCAGGAUUGACCUCGUUCCCGGUGCGGCUCCGAUAGCCAAAGCACCGUAUCGGUUGGCUCCUCCCGAGAUGCAGGAGUUGUCUACGCAGCUGCAGGAGCUGCUGGACAAGGGAUUUAUUCGGCCGAGCAGUUCGCCCUGGGGAGCCCCGAUUCUGUUUGUGAAGAAGAAGGAUGGGUCGCAUCGGAUGUGUAUAGAUUAUCGGGAGCUGAACAAGGUAACGGUGAAGAACCGUUACCCGCUUCCGAGGAUUGAUGACCUCUUUGACCAGCUUCAGGGCGCAUCUUGGUUCUCCAAGAUUGAUUUGCGUUCGGGUUAUCAUCAGAUGAGGGUCAGGGAGGAGGAUAUGCAGAAGACCGCGUUUCGGACGCGCUAUGGCCAUUACGAGUUUGUGGUGAUGCCGUUUGGGCUCACCAAUGCUCCUGCCGCGUUCAUGGACCUCAUGAACCGUGUAUGCAGACCGAUGCUGGACCGGUCUGUGAUAGUCUUUAUCGAUGAUAUCUUGGUUUAUUCCAAGACCCGGGAGGAACAUGAGGAGCAUUUGAGAGAGGUGUUAGAGACCCUGAGGAGGGAGAGCUUGUAUGCCAAGUUCUCCAAGUGUGAGUUUUGGUUGCGCGAGGUGCAAUUUCUGGGGCACCUCGUCAACCAGAACGGGAUUCUGGUCGAUCCGGCCAAGGUCGAGGCCGUGAUGAGAUGGGAGGUUCCGAAGUCCCCAUCUGAGAUUCGGAGCUUCCUAGGAUUGGCAGGCUACUAUCGGAGAUUUAUCCAGGAUUUCUCCAAGAUAGCCGUGCCCCUGACGCGGCUGACGAAGAAAGCCGUGGUCUUUCGGUGGGGACCCGAGCAGCAGGCUGCAUUUGAGACGCUGAGACAGAGAUUGUGUGAGGCGCCGAUCUUAGCCCUGCCAGAGGGCGUAGAGGAUUUCGUGGUUUAUUGCGAUGCGUCCAUUUCUGGGUUGGGCGCGGUGCUGAUGCAAAGGGGGCAUGUCAUUGCUUACGCUUCGAGGCAGCUCAAGCCUCACGAGGCGAACUACCCGACGCACGAUUUGGAGUUGGGGGCGGUGGUAUUUGCCCUCAAGAUUUGGCGACAUUACCUCUAUGGGGUUCGGUGUACCAUCUACACGGACCACAAGAGCUUGAGGUACCUCAUGGACCAGCCGAAUCUGAACAUGAGGCAGCGUCGGUGGUUGGAUGUGGUGAAGGAUUAUGAUUGCGAGAUCCUUUACCACCCGGGAAAGGCCAAUGUGGUGGCCGAUGCGCUUAGCCGCAAGACGGCGCCGAUCAGGGACGCCUGUUUGAGGAUGACUGUGGUGACUCCCCUGUUGGAGCAGAUUCGGGAAGCUCAACAGGAGGCUAUCAAGGAGGAGCAUCGGAAGAACGAGCGCGUAGUAGGUCAGGUUUCCUCCUUCGAUUAUGAUAGCCGAGGGUUAUUGACACUACACCAUAGGGUGUGGGUGCCGUAUCACGGGGGCGUGCGCCAGAUUUUGAUGGAGGAGGCGCACAAGUCCCGAUUCUCUAUUCAUCCCGGGGCGACGAAGAUGUAUAGGGAUCUUCGUCUAGACUAUUGGUGGCCCUGCAUGAAGCGGGAUGUGGCAUGGUACGUCGAGCGGUGCUUGACCUGCAGGAAGGUCAAGGCCGAACAUCAGAGGCCGCAUGGCAAGAUGCAGCCGUUGGACAUUCCACUGUGGAAGUGGGAAGAUAUCACGAUGGAUUUUAUCACGAAGCUUCCCAGGACCGCGCGUGGAGUGGAUUCGAUUUGGGUCAUCGUGGAUAGAUUGACCAAGAGUGCUCACUUUAUUCCGAUUCCGGAGAGCAUAUCGGCCGAGAAAUUGGCCGACAUCUAUAUCAGGGAGAUUGUGGCACGGCAUGGGGUGCCAGUAUCGGUGAUCUCGGACAGGGAUGUGCGUUUUACUUCCAGGUUUUGGAAGAGAUUCCAUGACGAGUUGGGCACUCGUCUGCAUUUCAGCACCGCCUUUCACCCGCAGACAGAUGGACAGAGUGAGCGGACCAUCCAGACUUUGGAGGACAUGUUGCGGGCGUGUGUUCUGGAUUUCGGUGGUAGCUGGGAUACCUAUCUUCCUUUGGCUGAGUUCUCCUACAACAACAGCUAUCACGCGAGUAUCGACCGCCCUCCCUUCGAGAUGUUGUACGGACGGAGGUGUAGGACCCCGAUAUGCUGGGGUGAGGUUGGCCAGAGAGUUAUGGGAAGCACCGAAGUGGUGCUCAAGACGACUGAGAGGAUACAGCAGGUCCGGAGCAGGCUUCAGACUGCUCAGAGUCGACAGAAAAGUUAUGCCGACAAGCGUCGAUCCGAUUUAGAGUUCCAGGUCGGGGAUAUGGUCCUCCUGAAGGUGUCACCGUGGAAAGGCGUCAUCCGAUUCAGGAAGCGGGGCAAGUUGGGCCCGCGAUUCAUCGGACCGUUCAGGGUCUUAGCCCGGGUGGGCAAGGUAGCAUAUAGGCUGGAUCUGCCAGCCGAGCUUAGCCAGAUCCACAGCACUUUCCAUGUUUCGCAGUUGCGGAAGUGCCUAGUGGACGAUUCUGCAGUAGUACCUUUGGAGGAUAUUCAGGUUGAUGACAGCCUGAACUACAUCGAGCGCCCAGUCGCAAUCCUCGACAGGAAGUCGAAGGAUUUAAGGAACAAGAGGGUGGAGCUAGUGAAGGUGCAAUGGCAGCACCGCAAGGGUUCAGAGUGGACUUGGGAGCCGGUAGACGAGAUGAUGGAGCACUACCCCGAGCUGUUUCAGGAUCAGGCAGCAGACUUCGAGGACGAAGUCUAAAAUAAGUGGGGGAGAUUUGUAGCACCUGGUUUCCGGUAUGUGAAUUUUAUUUGAGCAUUGCCCUAAUUUAGCCUUAGACUCGGCGAGUCAUAGGGUCCGACUCGCCGAGUAGGGACGAGACUCAGGACGCGUUUUAAGUAGGCGACUCGACGAGUCCAUAUCCUGGACUCGGCGAGUCACCGCUGCGGGAUGAAACCCUAAGUUUCAAGGGUUUGCACCCUAUUUAAACCCUCAUUCCGCCCCAACUCGUCCCCAUUCACCCCCAGAACUCCCCCUACAUCGUUUUCCCUUGUUUCCUUGAGAGUUUGAGGUGUUCUUGGUGUGUUCUUGAAGGUUUUGAAGAGUAAGAGGAGUAGAUCAAGAAGAGGAGAAGGAGAUCAGCCAUCCUUGUGUCAUUUCAACAUUUCCUUUGAGGUAUAACCCGUUUUCCCCUUGAUUCUAUGCUUAAAACUUCAUUUGGGUCCUUCUUGGUCAAUUCCCCAAGUUUGCAUGUUCAUUAUAUGUUGUAAUAAGGCGUUUGGCCUUUGGAUCUAUGUAAGAUUGAGCUCCAGGAGCUCAGAUCUGUUAGCUUUUUGGCCUCAUGAGGCUUGUUAGCCCUAGAUCUACCAUUUUGAGACAUUUUGAGCCUUAUAAUCCAUAUUGGUGAAUAUCCACACGUAAAGUUGGAAACUUUACGUGUGAUUCGUGUCCUAGAAGUCCAGAUCUAUGAAUGGCAUGGUCUGGAACCGAGCAAAUCGGUAUAUUUAAGGAGUGCAUGGCGACGACUCGGCGAGUCGCAUAGGUGACUCGGCGAGUCU
rnacentral:lncRNA from 1 species